AGUGAACGCUGGCGGUAUGCCUAACACAUGCAAGUCGAACGGCAGCACAGUAAGAGCUUGCUCUUACGGGUGGCGAGUGGCGGACGGGUGAGGAAUACAUCGGAAUCUACUUUUUCGUGGGGGAUUACGUAGGGAAACUUACGCUAAUACCGCAUACGACCUACGGGUGAAAGCAGUGGAUCUUCGGACCUUGCGCGAUUGAAUUAGCCGAUGUCGGAUUAGCUAGUUGGCUUGGUAAAGGCCCACCAAGGCGACGAUCCGUAGCUGGUCUGAGAGGAUGAUCAGCCACACUGGAACUGAGACACGGUCCAGACUCCUACGGGAGGCAGCAGUGGGGAAUAUUGGACAAUGGGCGCAAGCCUGAUCCAGCCAUACCGCGUGGGUGAAGAAGGCCUUCGGGUUGUAAAGCCCUUUUGUUGGGAAAGAAAAGAAGCAGGUUAAUACACCGAUGUUCUGACGGUACCCAAAGAAUAAGCAACGGCUAACUUCGUG
rnacentral:rRNA from 1 species